CGGAGCUAACGCGUUAAGUCGACCGCCUGGGGAGUACGGCCGCAAGGUUAAAACUCAAAUGAAUUGACGGGGGCCCGCACAAGCGGUGGAGCAUGUGGUUUAAUUCGAUGCAACGCGAAGAACCUUACCUACUCUUGACAUCCAGCGAACUUUCCAGAGAUGGAUUGGUGCCUUCGGGAACGCUGAGACAGGUGCUGCAUGGCUGUCGUCAGCUCGUGUUGUGAAAUGUUGGGUUAAGUCCCGCAACGAGCGCAACCCUUAUCCUUUGUUGCCAGCGAUUCGGUCGGGAACUCAAAGGAGACUGCCGGUGAUAAACCGGAGGAAGGUGGGGAUGACGUCAAGUCAUCAUGGCCCUUACGAGUAGGGCUACACACGUGCUACAAUGGCGCAUACAAAGAGAAGCGACCUCGCGAGAGCAAGCGGACCUCAUAAAGUGCGUCGUAGUCCGGAUCGGAGUCUGCAACUCGACUCCGUGAAGUCGGAAUCGCUAGUAAUCGUGGAUCAGAAUGCCACGGUGAAUACGUUCCCGGGCCUUGUACACACCGCCCGUCACACCAUGGGAGUGGGUUGCAAAAGAAGUAGGUAGCUUAACCUCCGGGAGGGCG
rnacentral:rRNA from 1 species